GGGUCACUUUGGGAACGCAUAUACUAAAAUUAGAAUAAUACAGAGAAAAUUAGCAUGGCCUGUGUGCAAGAAUGAUGUGAAAAUUCAUGAAGUAUUCUAUAUUUUU
ensembl:snRNA U6 U6 spliceosomal RNA